rnacentral:tmRNA from 1 species
GGGCCUGAAUUGGAAUCGACAACAUAAGGAGAGUGAUAGUUACGUGCCGGAGUUGAGUAGAAGGCUCCGUUAUCAAUCUACUCAAGCAAUUUAAUUGCUAAUACUUUGAAAAUGGCAGCUUAAGGUUGCCCGUCCUGCUUUUUGACACCGAUAGACUGGUAAGGGCGAACACUUCGGUAGCUUUUGUUUCUUUCAAGUAAAAGGAAUUGGUGGAGGGUAUCCAUGAUGCCCCUAGAGUUUCUUCUCUCUUUAAAAGAGGAAAGAUUAAGUUACUCUAUCUUUGGAUUCGUAUUGUAAUGAUACGUAGAUUGAAAUAAAAUAGAGACGCACGUGAGAUUACAUUUGAUAAAUGAUUGGACGCGAGCAUCGAAGUUCGCCAGGUCCAUUC